CCCUCCUGUUGCAACGCUGCCGGAGUCUAAUAGCCUUAAUUGACGUUAGGUGUCUUGAUGCUCCAGCGCUGUAUCUCGUCUUAGCUCAUUUUGCAAGAGCUACUUAACCUAAUUACAGAGGAGAAGACAAUUCAAGCCCACGGCUGGCAGUGAACUGGGGGGGGGGUGGACACAUAUGCUUUUGUCAUGUGUCCUCGUGCGUGAUUUUUACAAGACUAAAAAAUUCCUUCUUACUUGAAAAGCAUAAACUCUGCCUGGACAAGGACAGGCAAACAAAUGGGCAAGCGUGCCCGCCCCAGCUGUGCCUCCGCCAAGCGUCACUCCCUGGUGUCAGCCAGGGCAGUGGCGAACCUUUACUGUUGCAGGCACCGUUGCUCCAUACCAUGAAGACCAAUUAUGUGGCGAAAGCAGGCCUGCCUUGGCAGGAGAAGUACGGUGAACUACUUCAGCUAUUGCUGCUUGCAAUUUUGAAGUUAGCUGAAGAGAGGAUGACACUUUUCUCCAUUGAAAGAGGAAUGGGAACUUCCCCUAGGCUUCUUCCUAAUUUUUAUGUAAGUAGAGCCGCAAAUAAAUUUUCUUAGCAAUGUACUAAACAGCACAGCUGUGGAAAUCUUGUCAUUUGGCUGGAUAGAGAGCCACUCAGGACUCAGUGGGAAUAAUAAUUACGUUCUCCCACCCUUUCGUCUUCUCUCCUCAGGUUGCUAGCACCCCGGGGGAGAUGGCCCUGCUCUUUGCCCUGUGUCAACUGUACCAGGCCCUGGAGAGAGCUGGGGGCAGAAUAAAAUCUCCAGCUUGUGAUAGCUCUCCA
rnacentral:lncRNA from 1 species